UAUCAUGGAUGCUACUUAAUUAUUAGAGCCCUAAUUAGGGGCUGCGUCGCCCCCUGGAGCCAUUUGGCUGCAGUGCUAUGGGACGCAGCAAUCUGGGCGCUUCCCCUUUAAGAGCACACUGCCCUCUCCCCAAACUGGGGGGGCAUUCAUAAUGCCCUCCCCCAAUUUGCUGAGACAUUAUUAGGGACCCUACUUAAUUAUUAGACUCCUAAUUAGGGGCUGUGUCGCCCCCUGGAGGCGUUUGGCUGCACUGCUGUGGGGCGCAGCAAUCGGGGCGCUUCCCCUUUAAGAGCACACAGCCCUAUGCCCAAACUGGGGGGGCGUUAUGAGUGUCCCCAACCCCUUUGCAGAGGAGACUUAACACGUUAUCAUGGAUGCUACUUAAUUAUUAGACCCCUAAUUAGGGGCUGUGGCGCCCCCUGGUCCCGUUUGACUGCACUGCUAUGGGG
ensembl:lncRNA